AUCGCAUGGCCUUGCGCCGGCGACGGUUCAUUCAAAUUUUUGCCCUAUCAACUUUCGAUGGUAAGGUAUUGGCUUACCAUGGUUUCAACGGGUAACGGGGAAUUAGGGUUCGAUUCCGGAGAGGGAGCCUGAGAAACGGCUACCACAUCCAAGGAAGGCAGCAGGCGCGCAAAUUACCCAAUCCCGACACGGGGAGGUAGUGACAAUAAAUACUGAUACAGGGCUCUUUUGGGUCUUGUAAUUGGAAUGAGUACAAUUUAAAUCCCUUAACGAGGAACAAUUGGAGGGCAAGUUUGGUGCCAGCAGCCGCGGUAAUUCCAGCUCCAAUAG
rnacentral:rRNA from 1 species